ensembl:lncRNA
UUUGUUUUUAGUUUUUUUUAUUUGCUGUUUUUGCUAUUUGUAGUAUUUUUGUAAUGAUGAGUGUUUGUGAUAUAAUUUUAUAUUAUCUUCUGUAUUUUGGAUUGUAUGUUGUGCAAUAAAUAAAUAAAUAAAUAAAAAGAAAAAAGACUGGUGGUCUAGCACUGCUGAGGCUAAUAUACUAUCAGGUUGCCGAGCAACGGCAGGCUCGCGCUGGCUAACUAAACCGACUAAACUACUAAACUGACUGUGUUUAAAAUCAGUGUUUCAGACUACUGAAUAACGAGAGACAACCUAACUACAGCAUCCUCGCUAUGAGCCAUAAUGCCCUCAACAUCUUCAGUAACCACGUCAAAACCAGGACCAAGACCAAGACCAAAGCAAAGGUCAUAUCCAUUGCUAGAUAUUCUUCCACCCGUCCCUGCUGAUCAGUUUGCUGGAGCACAAAGACAGGCACACUGCAGUCCUCCUCAAAAGAUAAAACGUCUCAAGACAAGGAAGGAGAGGAAUCAGAUUCGAGGGCCAAACAUCAGCAGCUUUUUCUUUCAAAGCCAUGUUAAAAAAGUCAGCAAAGACAAGGCACAGGGGUGCAGCUGCCAGGAAUCCCACUCCGGUCAUUCCCACAAACAUUUCAUAAAAGAUAAAACUAUCACUAAACUGUUCCAUCCACAUAGGCCAAGUAUCAUCACAGAGGGGCGCCUGACGUCUAGCAGAGGCCUCUUUAGCCAUGAGGUGAGGUCUGUGGAUAUUGAGAGAUUGAUGACAGAUAGAAGGAAGAGUCAAAGUCAGGCAGAAGACCAUCAAGCUGCUGCAGAUAACUCCUUGUCUGUGUCUUCACCCUUAAUUUUUAGUCCUAGGCCAGAAUCUGGUGAGCCUGUUGCUUCUAUUUCUAGAUGUGUGCAAGAUGUAGAUGGAGAGCUGGCUUUAGAGCAGACGAAUCAUCUGCAGACAAUCACAGAAGAACAUAGUUAUAUGCUGACCUGCCAUGAAUCUUUGGAGAACGUUGUUGGAUCAGGACACAGAUCGUCUAAUAAGACCAAACCUGCAGUUCUUUCUUCAACAGAAAGCGAUUUCAUUCAGUCCUUCUCAACCCCUGACCCACCCAACAAGACUGGCCCUCCUUACCCACCAGGAGAACGGGAAGAAGAGCCAGCAGCAGACAAGACAACUACGGCAGACAAGACCCCCUUAGAUAAGCAACAAAGAACUCACAACCCACUCAUUAGGUCUCUACAGUCUGACCCUGCAGUCUGCACUGUUGUUUCUCCAACUACUCCUGCAGCUAAUGCUCAGCAGAUUGACCCUGAUGCUCUGAUUUCCAGCGAGGCAAUAGGCAGGCUGGCAGCUCGCCUGUGCCAGGACCUUCCUUUAACUCCUUUGCGAUGCCACCUCCCCCUACUGACUGAGUGCAGAGAGGUGCUCCUGCAGGCCCUGCAGGAGAGGAACAGCCAGACUGGGCUUCACUUACAGCUCACUACUCCUACAGCACUUCCAGAUCUGAGGCACCAAAUCACAGAACAAGCAAGCUCCAGCUCACAGCAGAGAUAUGGAGAAAGCACACCCACACCCAUGCAUUUCAGCUUCACAAGGGGAUAUGAAGAUAAGAGCUCACGCAGAGACUUUGUAAGAGAGGAUGUUUACCCAGACACUGAACGAGGAGCAGGUGAUGAGAGGAGGAGGAGGCCUCAUGUGUGGACAGUGUACUCACCUCAGGAUGUCUUCACAAAGCUACAGUCACCAUGUGAAGAUUUAUUGGACCAAUGGAGUGUAAGAAUCCCAGUUCCAGAGUCCCUUACAGCCAAUCAGCUCCACAAACCACUGCAGCGAGUCUCUCUGCACCAAGCCUUCACUGCAAUAGAAACCCCAAAACCUUAUUCCAACAGCUAUGGACCUGAAUCUGCUAAGAUGUGUUUUCUGAAGCCACAGAAGCAAGAGAAACCGUCCAUCAGCCAAAACACAGUGAGAGAAAUCAACGCGCUGCUCGACCAGUGGAGCAGUGACCCAGAUUUAGCGUUCCUGUUCCAUGAAAACGUGAGGAGAUCCCAUACAUCAUCCGAUCAUCUGACAGAGCCGAAUUCAUCGUCUCCUUAUCAGAAGGUGGAGAGUGCCAGAGGGAGACCACCUGCUGGGGCAUCAUCCACCGUUUCAGCGUUCUUUCCCCCUGAAGGAUUUACUUACGAACCUUACUAUCGCUUUCCACAUCCACUCAACGUCAUCAACAGGCCAGAGAGGUCCAGUAGCAGUCCUUAUAUUCUCUCAGACAUCAGAGAUUUAGGACUUUCUCCGUCUUUACUCUUAAACACUCCUUAUUUCCGUUAUUCACUGUAA